CUGCUCUUUUUCAGUGGCACAUAUACUGAAAGUGGAACAACACAGAGAAGGUUCACAUGGCUCCUGAAAAUGGAUAACACACAAAUUCAUGAAGCAUUUUAUACUCUU
ensembl:snRNA Gm25623 U6 spliceosomal RNA